rnacentral:rRNA from 1 species
AGACGUAAAAUCUUCGUGCCCCAUAAGACGUGGGCUACACCCCAAUUACAAUGGACGGUACAAAGUGCUGCAAGACCUCGAGGUGGAACUUAUCUCAUAAAACCUUUCUCAGUUAGGAUUGUGGGAAGCAACUCGCCUACAAAAGCGAAUAAAUAUUAAAUGAGUAUCAAGCAUUCCCGUUGAAAUUGUUUCCCGGCCUU